rnacentral:rRNA from 1 species
AUUCCAGCUCCAAUAGCGUAUAUUAAAGUUGUUGCAGUUAAAAAGCUCGUAGUUGGAUUUCUGUUUCUGGGAUCUGGUCCGCCUCACGGUGAGCACUGGAUAACUGGGGACAUCCUCUCGAAGGCGGCGGGUGCACUUGAUUGUGUGUUUGUUGAAUUCGGGACCUUUACUUUGAAAAAAUUAGAGUGUUCAAAGCAGGCGUCGGCUUGAAUACAUUAGCAUGGAAUAAUGGAAUAGGACUUUGGUUCUAUUUUGUUGGUUUCUAGGACCGAAGUAAUGAUUAAUAGGGACAGUUGGGGGCAUUAGUAUUUAAUUGUCAGAGGUGAAAUUCUUGGAUUUAUGAAAGACUAACUACUGCGAAAGCAUUUGCCAAGGAUGUUUUCAUCG